GUCCGUGCCCCCUGCAAUUUGAAUACAGCCACCUACACAGCACAGAAAAGGAAGAGAAAAGCUCCUCUGGCCACCUCUGUUACGCCACCCAUGGCACCACUCUCAGAAGACAUCCCCUGCUGUGCUCGCUGCGGG